UCUUGCCUGUGGACUUUGGAAACUGUUACAUAGCCAGUGCUUCUGGUGUAUGAAACCCAGUCGGAAUAGUGAGAAGUUUGUUGGCGGCUGUUUUCUUCCUGGACACUUCUGAGGCUAAAAAGGGGAAACUGACUUUCCCUUUUGAAGGGGAAAAAAAGGGAGGGGGGGAAAGGGAGAGCUAACACUUGCUUUUGUUUUUCUUCUUUGAAUUUUUCAUUGCUUGCCUAGGACAGCCAGGUUGGAAUCCUAUUCUCUGUCUGCCUGGCUGUCUUAAAUAGAUAGCAGAGCCUUCAAAGAAAACUCUUUCAUCUGUCGUUAGUAUCUGUGCUCUGUGCUUCCCUGGAAUUAUGCAAAACAGAGGGAACUGCUUGUCUUGGCUAGCUGUAGCAGGAUAGCCAUUAGGAAAGGAUCGAGAGAGAAAAUGCAGGAGAAAUCUGGGUGUAAAGGUUAACAGUGAGGUAGAAGUAGGGAUAUAUUGGAUAGGGAUUUCCGUAGCACCUGAACCGUUGAUACCACAUUAUACCACACAGAAUAAUGUGACAGAAUAGUGCAAAUGUCAUUGUGAUGGAAAGGCGUUAAAUAAGAAAAAUUAUAAUCCAGAGUAAUCACUUACUGGCUAAAAGGAGGCAAUAUGAUCUGGAGGUAACACAGAGCAAACCAGUUACUUCUGCUUAAGAAAAAAGCUGAUGAGGGUAGUUCUCUGAUGACAACUGCAGAGAAAGUGUGUUUUGAGUUCCUGUAUGAAGACUGUUAUGAGUACAGCCAGAACAGGAUUCUGUGUCUGUGUGAAAACCUUUCAGAGCUAUGGCUAAUAGCCAUUUCUUUGGAUGACGUAUGUCUGAAAAACACACCAAGUUGGGGGAAAAAAAAGGAAGUUUUGUAACGCCAGACCUUAAAAGUUUAAUGGUUUUAGUCCUUUUUUCUCAAGUUAAAUUGAAAAGUCUGUAUUUAUGAAUUGCUGACAGACUUGGCAAGACUUUUUAAAAAAAUUCAUUGUGUUCAUUGUGGUUUAGAACUAGACAGUUACCUCCAUGUAGAUGUGAAGUGGGAUUCAUUCCUCCUUCUGAACUUUGGGCGUGUGUUGUAGGUUUCCUCGGGGGACCUCCAGGGAAAAGAAGGUGAAUACUGAUCAGAUAUAACGGCUGAAUUAGGUUAAAUUAAAUUAAAUCAAAUAAUAGGAAAAUAGUUGGUCUUGUUACUUGUGAUGUCUUCAGUGUAAAAUUAGAGGUUUGGAGGCACUUGUUCACUCCUUUAGGAUGCUUCAGUUUCACAGAUACUAACUGUAGGAAGAAUCCCAGUAUAAAGGAGUUGCUUGCAGCUGCAGAUGUUCUUAACAGAAACAUUGCUCAGCUCAGGGCAAGCGCACAAGUUUUCCUGGAAUAAGAAGCUUUUCCAAGAGCACUGUUCUUAAAACAGGGAUUAUGUAGACUGCAUAGUGACUGGUGUCCACUAUAGUACAGUUGAGUACCUGUACUCAAUUUGAGGGGAUAAAAAAAUAAUGAAAAUCACUUAGUAAAUUAAUAGCAGCAACAAUUUGAGUAGAAGAUAUAGAGGAUAGAGCCUCUUACCCUGGCAGAAAAAGCUAGAAAUGAGCUGAUACAGUACUGCUUGUUUAGAAUGUUAUAAAAUAGUAUUUUCUAAAUUUUUGAAUGUUUGAAUUUGAAUGUUCUGAAUUUUAAUGUUCUGUCAAUGGUUCUGUAAGCUCUUGCUGGUUUAUUUCCUGUGAAAUCUGUAAUGUUUGUGAACCUUCACACCUAAUUUUGAAGCUGCUGUUCUGUUGAUUGUGGGGGAUUUUUUUGACACAGAAGCUAAUACAACUACAGCAGUUGUAUUUUUCACUACAUAAUAAAUUGUUUCUAUCCAAAACUG